rnacentral:tRNA from 1 species
GCCGCGAUGCCAGAGUGGUCAUUGGCUUCGGUUGCAACCCGAAUGCAUGUGGGUUCAAUUCCCACUCGCGGCUCCA